AGGGAAUCUUCCACAAUGGACGCAAGUCUGAUGGAGCAACGCCGCGUGAGUGAAGAAGGUUUUCGGACCGUAAAGCUCUGUUGUUGGUGAAGAAGGAUAGAGGUAGUAACUGGCCUUUAUUUGACGGUAAUCAACCAGAAAGUCACGGCUAACUACGUGCCAGCAGCCGCGGUAAUACGUAGGUGGCAAGCGUUGUCCGGAUUUAUUGGGCGUAAAGCGAGCGCAGGCGGAAGAAUAAGUCUGAUGUGAAAGCCCUCGGCUUAACCGAGGAAAUUGCAUCGGAAACUGUUUUUCUUGAGUGCAGAAGAGGAGAGUAGAACUCCAUGUGUAGCGGUGGAAUGCGUAGAUAUAUGGAAGAAUACCAGUGGCGAAGGCGGCUCUCUGGUCUGCAACUGACGCUGAGGCUCGAAAGCAUGGGUAGCGAACAGGAUUAGAUACCCUGGUAGUCCAUGCCGUAAACGAUGAGUGCUAAGUGUUGGGAGGCUUCCGCCUCUCAGUGCUGCAGCUAACGCAUUAAGCACUCCGCCUGGGGAGUACGACCGC
rnacentral:rRNA from 1 species